rnacentral:rRNA from 1 species
CGUCUAUAUACGUAUAGCAUAUCAAUAAGCGGAGGAAAAGAAACUAACUAGGAUUCCCUUAGUAACGGCGAGUGAAGCGGGAAGAGCUCAAAUUUGAAAUCUUCAAGGCUCUACCUUGACGAAUUGUAGUUUAAAGAAGUGUUUUCUGUUGGAGGUUUUGGUAAAAGUUCUUUGGAAUAGGACAUCAUAGAGGGUGAGAAUCCCGUAUUUGACCAUUAUCUUUCCAGCUUUGUGAUACACUUUCAAAGAGUCGGAUUGUUUGGGAAUGCAGUCCAAAAUGGGUGGUAAAUUUCAUCUAAAGCUAAAUACUGGCGAGAGACCGAUAGCGAACAAGUACCGUGAGGGAAAGAUGAAAAGAACUUUGAAAAGAGAGUUAAACAGUACGUGAAAUUGUCAAAAGGGAAGCGUUUGACACCAGUGUUGUUUUCUCGAAAAUCAAUUAAAAAUGCUGGAUUUUGUGUUGUAUUGACUUUAUCAGCUUUCUGCACUUUUUUCCUGUCUUUUUUAAUGCACUUUUCGUUUAACAAGUCAACAUCAAUUUCUUUUGUUGUAAAAGAGUCAUUGGAAGGUGGCUUUCUUUUCGGAGAAAGUGUUUAUAGCCUUUGACUUCUGCAAUCGGAGAGAUUGAGGUCUGCAGCGUAGAUCCUUCGGGGUUAGAUGCAUUUGUGCUAAGUUAUAGCCUUUCAUAGACAACUUGUUGACUAUGAUCAGUCAUGUAGCUUACUCGCUUAUGUUAUUUUACCUACGCUUAGGAUGUUGACGAUCAGCUGAGCGCG